AUCCUUGAAAGAGUGCGUAAUAGCUCACUGGUCAAGUGAUUCUGCGCCGACAAUUCAGCGGGGCUCAAGUUAUCCGCCGAAGCUGUGGCAUUCACGUGUUGUGGCCGGAAGGUUGCGUGGAUGGGUAGGGGAGCGUCGUGUGCGUGUUGAAGCGGUGGGGUGACCUGGUCGUGGAGUGCAUACGAGUGAGAAUGCAGGCAUGAGUAGCGAAUGACGGGUGAGAAACCCGUCCGCCGAAUAUCCAAGGGUUCCAGGGUCAAGUUAAUCUGCCCUGGGUUAGUCGGGACCUAAGGCGAGGCCGACAGGCGUAGUCGAUGGACAACGGGUUGAUAUUCCCGUACCGGCGAAACAACGUCCGUGCUGGGGCACGCGAUGCUAAGCAUGCGAGACUGUCUGCUGCCUUUCGGGGUGGUGGGUGGUUGAGUCUGUGAUCCGAGUGUGUAGUAGGCAAGCCGCGGAGGGACGCAGGAAGGUAGCUCAUCCUCAGCGUUGGUUGUCUGAGGCUAAGUGUGUAGGGUGGGGUGUAGGUAAAUCCGCAUUCCGUGAUGCCUGAGACACGAUGGGCCUGCACCGUUUGGGUGUGGGUUGAGUGAUCCUAUGCUGCCUAGAAAAGCUUCGUUGGCGAGUUGUUAGCCGCCCGUACCCUAAACCGACACAGGUGGAUAGGUAGAGAAUACCGAGGCGAUCGGGAUAAUCGUGGUGAAGGAACUCGGCAAAAUACCCCCGUAACUUCGGGAUAAGGGGGACCUGAUACGUGACCAGCCUUGCGUUGUGAGCGUUGAGGGUCGCAGAGACCAGGCCCAAGCGACUGUUUACUAAAAACACAGGUCCGUGCCAACUCGUAAGAGGAUGUAUACGGACUGACUCCUGCCCGGUGCUGGAAGGUUAAGGGGAACUGUCAGCCGCAUUUUGUGUGGUGAAGCGGUGAACUUAAGCCCCAGUAAACGGCGGUGGUAACUAUAACCAUCCUAAGGUAGCGAAAUUCCUUGUCGGGUAAGUUCCGACCUGCACGAAUGGAGUAACGAUUUGGGCGCUGUCUCCACCGCGAACCCGGUGAAAUUGCAUUACGAGUAAAGAUGCUCGUUACGCGCAGCAGGACGGAAAGACCCCGGGACCUUUACUACAGUUUGGUAUUGGUGAUCGGUGUGACUUGUGUAGGAUAGGUGGGAGACUUUGAAACCGGGACGCCAGUUCCGGUGGAGUCGUCGUUGAAAUACCACUCUGGUCAUUCUGGUUAUCUAACCUAGGACCGUUAUCCGGUUCAGGGACAGUGCCUGAUGGGUAGUUUGACUGGGGCGGUCGCCUCCUAAAAGGUAACGGAGGCGCCCAAAGGUUCCCUCAGCCUGGUUGGCAAUCAGGUUUCGAGUGUAAGUGCACAAGGGAGCUUGACUGUGAGACCGACGGGUCGAGCAGGGACGAAAGUCGGGACUAGUGAUCUUCUGGUAGCGAAUGGAAGCGCCAGGACUCAACGGAUAAAAGGUACCCCGGGGAUAACAGGCUGAUCUUGCCCGAGCGUCCAUAGCGACGGCAUGGUUUGGCACCUCGAUGUCGGCUCGUCGCAUCCUGGGGCUGGAGUCGGUCCCAAGGGUUGGGCUGUUCGCCCAUUAAAGCGGCACGCGAGCUGGGUUUAGAACGUCGUGAGACAGUUCGGUCCCUAUCCGCUGCGCGCGUAGGAGUCUUGAGAAGGGCUGUCCUUAGUACGAGAGGACCGGGACGGACCAACCUCUGGUGUGCCAGUUGUUCCGCCAGGAGCACGGCUGGUUGGCUACGUUGGGAAGUGAUAACCGCUGAAAGCAUCUAAGCGGGAAGCACGCUUCAAGAUGAGGACUCCCACACCGUCAAGGUGGUAAGGCCCCCCGCAGACCACGGGGUUGA
rnacentral:rRNA from 1 species